CUACGGGUGGCUGCAGUGGGGAAUAUUGGACAAUGGGCGAAAGCCUGAUCCAGCCAUGCCGCGUGUGUGAAGAAGGCCUUCGGGUUGUAAAGCACUUUCAGUGGGGAAGAAAGCCUUGGGGCUAAUACCCUCGAGGAAGGACAUCACCCACAGAAGAAGCACCGGCUAACUCCGUGCCAGCAGCCGCGGUAAUACGGAGGGUGCGAGCGGUAAUCGGAAUUACUGGGCGUAAAGCGCGCGUAGGCGGUCUGAUAAGCCGGUUGUGAAAGCCCCGGGCUCAACCUGGGAACGGCAUCCGGAACUGUCAGGCUAGAGUGCAGGAGAGGAAAGUAGAAUUCCCGGUGUAGCAGUGAAAUGCGUAGAGAUCGGGAGGAAUACCAGUGGCGAAGGCGGCCUUCUGGACUGACACUGACGCUGAGGUGCGAAAGCGUGGGUAGCAAACAGGAUUAGAUACCCGAGUAGUC
rnacentral:rRNA from 1 species